CAGUGAGGCAGCAGGAAUGCUCGCUCAGGACAUUUGGGAUCUUUAAUAACUCUUCCCAGCAUAACUUGUCCUGUUCCCCACUUAUCUGAAACCCCAGUUCCUGCCACAGAUUUGUCAUUUUUCAAUUUAUGAACUUCAGUUCUGUUUCCUUCCAUGGCUGUGUCUCUGUAAGGCUUUGGUAGAACUCAUGUAGUGCUGGGUACACAAGUGAGCACAUGUGGGCAGCACAGAAAGAGCAAAACUGCCUGAGUGAGGGGCUUGAGAGCUGCUGUCCUGAAGGAUCCCAGCACAGAGCUCCAGUUCCAGCCCCCGUGGGACAUCCCCUCUCCCCCCAGCAUUCUGCAUGAGUGACACAAGAGCUUUACAAGUGAGAGCUUUUUGUACAUUAAAA